AGGAGGAGGAGGAGGAGGAGGAGGAGAAGAAGAAGAAGAAGAAGAAGAAGAAGAAGAAGAAGAAGAAGAAGAAGUCAUUUCAAGUCUUCAAGUCCUAAAUAUUUUUGGUCUAAGGGAGAAACUCUUUUUCCUCACCUUGCAUUUUCCAGAUGUUGGAAGAUCCGUUGAAGGCUCUUGUCUAUUGACCAGAAUAUAUAGCCCUGGUUCCAGCCCACAGGAAGUCCUGAAAUACUGGACACAGCAGGGUAGGUCAGUGGAACUGAAGUGAUAGCAAAGUACCAGAAAGCUAACCAAUAAGAAUAGAAAGUUAAUUUAGGAAUUAGACCAUUGCUAUCAUAGUAAAUGAAGUGAAAAUACCAGGUAUUUUAUACGUUUAGCACUUACAAUUAAGGUGAUGUCUUAGUUAGGGUUUCUAUUGUUGUGAUGAAACACCAUGGCCAUAAAAUGCUUGGGGUUAAA